rnacentral:rRNA from 1 species
GACGAACGCUGGCGGCGUGCUUAACACAUGCAAGUCGAGCGGUAAGGCCCUUUCGGGGGUACGACGAGCGGCGAACGGGUGAGUAACACGUGGGUGACCUGCCCUCCAGCUCUGGGAUAAGCCUGGGAAACCGGGUCUAAUACUGGAUAUGACUCCAUGACGCAUGUUGGUGGGGUGGAAAGCCUUGUGCGGCUGAGGAUGGGCCCGCGGCCUAUCAGCUUGUUGGUGGGGGUGAGGCCUACCAAGGCGACGACGGGUAGCCGGCCUGAGAGGGCGACCGGCCACACUGGGACUGAGACACGGCCCA